rnacentral:rRNA from 1 species
CCUACGGGCGGCAGCAGUGAGGAAUAUUGGUCAAUGGGCGAGAGCCUGAACCAGCCAAGUCGCGUGAGGGAGUACUGCCCUAUGGGUUGUAAACCUCUUUUGUCGGGGAGCAAAAGCCGGACGUGUCCGGCUGUGAGAGUCCCCGAAGAAAAAGAAUCGGCUAACCCCGUGCCAGCAGCCGCGGUAAUAGCGAGGGCGCGAGGGUUAAUACGUAUUACUGGGCGUAAAGUGCGCGUAGGCUGAUGUGUAAGUUGGGGGGGAAAUCCCACGGGUCAACCGUGGAACAGCCCUUGACACUGCGCGACUUGAAUCCGGGAGAGGGUGGCGGAAUUCCAGGUGUAGGAGUGAAAUCCGUAGAUAUCUGGAGGAACAUCAGUGGCGAAGGCGGCCACCUGGACCGGUAUUGACGCUGAGGCGCGAAAGCGUGGGGAGCAAACAGGAUUAGAUACCCCAGUAGUC